AAGACAGUAAGAGAGUGGCUGUGCCUGGGUUGAUUUUUUGAGUGUGUGUUUGUAUGGAUAUUGUAUUAUAGACUGCACAUUUGCCUCAAGCUAUAAUAAGUCAAUAAUUUAUGAGCUCCUGUGUGUUGUGUGGAUAGUCUGUGUGUGUGGGGGUGAGUGCAGUUUGAAAGGUGGGAUGUCAUAUUUCAACAUUUCAGCAGAGCUUUGAAGGAAGAUGAGUCUGAUGGAAGAGAAAAAAGCAAAAGAACAACACAAAGGCAAAAAAAGAAAAGAGGGCAAAAAUAUCCACACUGCUGGUCCAGCCAGAGAGGCCGGCAGCAGGUUGAUGUCAAGAGAAAGGCUUCCUCUUAUAGGAUCUUCCAGAACUACAGAGAGAUCCACUCAUCCGCGUCCCACUGAGGGUGGGAAUAAGAAGCGUGCCCGCCCCUCUCUCAAUGCUGUUUUCCAAGACAGAAUGGCACCCUGGGAAGGCUCCUCCCACUCUGAUUCCUUUUUCACCAGCAUUCCACCUCCUCCUCCUGCACCACCACCUCCCCCUGCACCACCUCCACCAAUCUCAUCAACUGACCCUCCGUCACCUCCACCACAGCCAAUCAGAGACACGCAGCCUGAAAGUGGCAAAAGUGCUCCAGUGAAACGAAAGAUCCUUCCACCCCGAUGGCCCCCCAAACCCCCACGUCUGCCUCCGUUACGACAAGUCACAAAUCUCAGUUUUUCAAGAAGUUUUACAUUUUCAUUUUUUGAACUGCCUUUUCAUCAGUCAGCACGAAGUCGAGCAGAGCAGCUCAAAGAUCUUGUAGCGCUGCUGAAGCAGAUACAGUACUGAGUGGAAUGAACUCCCUUUACAUUUUCACUAGAUGUAGGAAAGUAUAAGGACAAAAUACUCGUUUAGGGAUGCACUGAUCAUGAUGUUUUGUCUGAUUUCUUUACAGCCAAAUUGGCUGUUGGAAAAUUUUUCACAUAUGGAUAGUUACAAUGCACAUACAUUAUUUCCUUUUUAAAGGGCCAAACUGAGAUUUUAAAUUAUUAAAUGAAAAAUUAAACACCUAUGUAAUAACACAAAUCAAAUAAAGUGCUCCAUUAGAGGUAUGAGACAACUGUGUACUGGCUGAUUUGCAUAAUGAGUGAUGUAUUGUUAUGCUAUAACAUUGUGGUACAGGUGUAGCAGCAGAAUUCAUGUACACGUGCACUUAUAUGCAAGUGGACUUACCUAGCUCACAUUAUUUACAUCAUAACACUGGCCACAAUGAAAAAUAUCAAUUAGCCUAUUGCUUAUUGUGUGUUUGAAACAAAAAUCUGCCGAUUCCAGUCUUGUUCGAUUCUGAUCAUGCAUCCCUACUCACGUUUAUUCUCGGAAUGAACCCCCAGUGCCCAGUGUCCUGUGUAUGUAUUCUUAAAUUACAGUUUGCAUUACAAAGUUUGCUUAGUUAGCUAAUUAGUUAAAUGAGAUUAGCCUAGUCACUGCAAAGUGUAUCCCAUUAAAAAUCUGCAAUGCAUUGUCCCUUGUAUGACUUCUAGUGACCCUAGGACCCCUACCUUGAUUUUAGCUACCCUUUUGUAAACUUCCUUUAUGUAUGAUGUUGCAGUUUAAUGUGUUAUAUAAAGAGCCCAGGGAAUGAACAGGCCUGGGAACAUAGGUACACUCCCAUUAGCAGUCUAGAACGGUAGAAAGCCUAUUUGAAAUACAUCUGGUAUUGAGACCUAUACUGUCGCUUCAGAUUACGUUAGCUCCCAUAAUUGUAUGUUGCUG
ensembl:lncRNA